AGUGAACGCUGGCGGUAGGCCUAACACAUGCAAGUCGAACGGCAGCACAGUAAGAGCUUGCUCUUACGGGUGGCGAGUGGCGGACGGGUGAGGAAUACAUCGGAAUCUACUUUUUCGUGGGGGAUAACGUCGGGAAACUUACGCUAAUACCUCAUACGACCUACGGGUGAAAGCAGGGGAUCUUCGGACCUUGCGCGAGUGAAUGAGCCGAUGUCGGAUUAGCUAGUUGGCGGGGUAAAGGCCCACCAAGGCGACGAUCCGUAGCUGGUCUGAGAGGAUGAUCAGCCACACUGGAACUGAGACACGGUCCAGACUCCUACGGGAGGCAGCAGUGGGGAAUAUUGGACAAUGAGCGCAAGCCUGAUCCAGCCAUACCGCGUGGGUGAAGAAGGCCUUCGGGUUGUAAAGCCCUCUUGUUGGGAAAGAAAAGCAGCAGGUUAAUACCCCGCUGUUCUGACGGUACCCAAAGAAUAAGCACCGGCUAACUUCGUG
rnacentral:rRNA from 1 species